AGGCAGAGCAGAGGAUUGGGUUAUAGGAUGAGAGAACACCUGUUCCUGCCUCUUGCUUUCUCCCUAAAACCUAUAAAGUAGGAAAGGGGGAGGCAGCUGCCUGGGCUCCCUGCUCCAGGGGGUGUUUGUGGAUAGAUGGAUGGAGCUUUUGCAGGCUGAAGAGCUUCAAGUGCUGGGGGUGGAGAGGGGAGGUUAAAAGGCUGCAAUCAGUCACCAAGCUCCUGGCCUCGUCUCGGCUGCGUUGGGCUGCGCGAUGGAUGAUGUGUUCGAGGCUUCCUGUGUCUGGGGGCAAAUCGGGGCGAGAUGGCUCCGGGGAACCUGCGUGGUGGAGCUUGGUGCUGGGACAGCGAGCGAGGAGAGGGCAUAUUGAGGCUGGAGAAAUGCAGGAUGUUGAGGACACAUGCAGGGCUUUGGCUUGCAGUGAUGAUCAUAUACAGUGGUGA
rnacentral:lncRNA from 1 species